CCUACGGGCGGCUGCAGUGGGGAAUAUUGGACAAUGGGCGAAAGCCUGGUCCAGCCAUGCCGCGUGUGUGAAGAAGGCCUUCGGGUUGUAAAGCACUUUCAGUGGGGAAGAAAGCCUUGGGGCUAAUACCCUCGAGGAAGGACAUCACCCACAGAAGAAGCACCGGCUAACUCCGUGCCAGCAGCCGCGGUAAUACGGAGGGUGCGAGCGUUAAUCGGAAUUACUGGGCGUAAAGCGCGCGUAGGCGGUCUGAUAAGCCGGUUGUGAAAGCCCCGGGCUCAACCUGGGAACGGCAUCCGGAACUGUCAGGCUAGAGUGCAGGAGAGGAAGGUAGAAUUCCCGGUGUAGCGGUGAAAUGCGUAGAGAUCGGGAGGAAUACCAGUGGCGAAGGCGGCCUUCUGGACUGACACUGACGCUGAGGUGCGAAAGCGUGGGUAGCAAACAGGAUUAGAUACCCGGGUAGUC
rnacentral:rRNA from 1 species